rnacentral:rRNA from 1 species
ACCUGCCCUUGACUCUGGGAUAAGCCUGGGAAACUGGGUCUAAUACCGGAUAUGACUCCUCAUCGCAUGGUGGGGGGUGGAAAGCUUUUUUGUGGUUUUGGAUGGACUCGCGGCCUAUCAGCUUGUUGGUGAGGUAAUGGCUUACCAAGGCGACGACGGGUAGCCGGCCUGAGAGGGUGACCGGCCACACUGGGACUGAGACACGGCCCAGACUCCUACGGGAGGCAGCAGUGGGGAAUAUUGCACAAUGGGCGAAAGCCUGAUGCAGCGACGCCGCGUGAGGGAUGACGGCCUUCGGGUUGUAAACCUCUUUCAGUAGGGAAGAAGCGUAAGUGACGGUACCUGCAGAAGAAGCGCCGGCUAACUACGUGCCAGCAGCCGCGGUAAUACGUAGGGCGCAAGCGUUAUCCGGAAUUAUUGGGCGUAAAGAGCUCGUAGGCGGUUUGUCGCGUCUGCCGUGAAAGUCCGGGGCUCAACUCCGGAUCUGCGGUGGGUACGGGCAGACUAGAGUGAUGUAGGGGAGACUGGAAUUCCUGGUGUAGCGGUGAAAUGCGCAGAUAUCAGGAGGAACACCGAUGGCGAAGGCAGGUCUCUGGGCAUUAACUGACGCUGAGGAGCGAAAGCAUGGGGAGCGAACAGGAUUAGAUACCCUGGUAGUCCAUGCCGUAAACGUUGGGCACUAGGUGUGGGGGACAUUCCACGUUUUCCGCGCCGUAGCUAACGCAUUAAGUGCCCCGCCUGGGGAGUACGGCCGCAAGGCUAAAACUCAAAGGAAUUGACGGGGGCCCGCACAAGCGGCGGAGCAUGCGGAUUAAUUCGAUGCAACGCGAAGAACCUUACCAAGGCUUGACAUGGACUGGAAAUACCUGGAAACAGGUGCCCCGCUUGCGGCCGGUUCAAAGGUGGUGCAUGGUUGUCGUCAGCUCGUGUCGUGAGAUGUUGGGUUAAGUCCCGCAACGAGCGCAACCCUCGUUCUAUGUUGCCAGCGCGUGAUGGCGGGGACUCAUAGGAGACUGCCGGGGUCAACUCGGAGGAAGGUGGGGACGACGUCAAAUCAUCAUGCCCCUUAUGUCUUGGGCUUCACGCAUGCUACAAUGGCCGGUACAAAGGGUUGCGAUACUGUGAGGUGGAGCUAAUCCCAAAAAGCCGGUCUCAGUUCGGAUUGGGGUCUGCAACUCGACCCCAUGAAGUCGGAGUCGCUAGUAAUCGCAGAUCAGCAACGCUGCGGUGAAUACGUUCCCGGGCCUUGUACACAC